rnacentral:tRNA from 1 species
UGUUCUGUAGCUUAGUUGGUUAAAGCGCCGGCCUAGCAUACACGGAGUCGUGAGUUCGAAUUUCACUGGAACGC